rnacentral:lncRNA from 1 species
GUUGUUUCUUUAUGUAUCUUACAUAUACAUCCUCACAGCCCAGGUAACACAUUUAACCCUGAAAUCAAGAUUAAAAUUAAGUUAAAUGAAUGGGUUGUUUCUUAAUGUAUCUAAUAUACACUUACACAUAGCGCAGAAAACAAACCCUGAAAUCAAGAUAAAAAAUAAGUCGAAUGAAUGUGUUGUUUCUUUAGGUAUCUUACAUAUACAUCCACACAGCGC